GAACAGGUUUAUUUUAUUUAAAAUUUAUCAUUCAAAUUAAGUUAGAUAUGUUUAAAAUCUAAAUAUAGAACAUUAAAGAAAACAGUCACAUGUAUCUAAAUUUCUAAAUACUCAUAAAUAUAAAAGUCUAACUGACAUCACCAGAUAAGACUUCAGUAUUUUCAAAACCGCAGAACCCUCAAAAUAAUCUCAAUUAUAGAUGUCCAAAAUAUGUAUUAUUACAAUUUAGAACCUUUAUACAUUCAAGUGUUUUGGCUUAAAAGAGUCCCACCUUUGUGUGACUGUCACCUUGAAUAAAUGUAAAAUUCUUAUGUAAUGGACAUAAUCCCUUGUGUCUGACGCCAUUUAUAUAAUUUUAAAGUUCCACGUCUAACCAUUUUCAUUAAAGCAUGUUUUAAAUCAUAGUACAUUUUUCAAGUAAUUGUCUGUUAAUAUAUAACUUUGAAAACAACAAAAACAAUUUGUAUGCCAUCACAUGUUCUAGGCCAACGUAUAAUGCUAAGAAAGGAAAGAAAUAACUAUCUUAACUGUCAUUCCAGAUGUUUUGGCUUUUGGUUGAUGUUGAAGAAACAUCAAACUCGCAAAAAUCAAACUAGCAAACAAAUACAACCACCAGGCCAAAUAACCAUAACCAAAGUGUUGUGGGUCUUCUUUACGAAGCCACACAUUUGAUAUGAAGUUGUGCUUGAGAACAACUUCCCAUCUAUUUAAUAGACUUUCAUGUUUGGCAUACUGUUGCAGCCUUACAUGCUUUGCCUCGUGGCCUUGUAUGCUGUUGAUGCCAAGGCCAACUUGAAAACGGUCGAAGAGAAGUUUGGAAUGAUAUGGCACGACACAACCUACUGUCCAAACUGUGGUGUAAACUUUGUUCAGUAAUGCAGAAACAACAUUAAAGAACCUUUGGCAGUAGCCCUGAAGUAAGGUUAAGUGACCUUCCUUAAUUGUGACGCGAGAAAAAAGACAUACAGCACCUCUAAGCUGUAAAGCAGCGUAAGCGAUAGAGUAAAUUCUCCCUUUAUCUUGAGGCAAAUCACUCUCUCAAAUGCACUUUUUUGUAGUCUUCCAGCACAAAGCUUCUCUUUAAGGGCGAAGAGAAACUUAGCUAAACAUUCAUUCUCUGGGAUCUACAUGUUUCAUGUAAAAGCUCACAAGAUCCUGGGUUGAAAGACCACUCUUUCUCAAGACCCGUAGGCCAUACAGACGUUUAACCGCCUUGUUGUAGAUGGAGUCGCAGUGGAUGUUCCAAGUAAGAUCGUUUGCGAUGUGGACCCCUAGCAACUUAUGUGUCGAGACUUGUUCAAUUACAGAUCCUCCGAUCAUCCGAGGUCGUAAGGCUACCGAAUUGUAUUUCAAGGAGUUAACCACCAUCUCCUUAAAUUUCUUCAGAUUUAGUUUGAUAUUGAGCUUGUCUGCAUACAAGUUGAUGUCGGAAGCAAUUAGUGGUAGGUAACUAGGAGAGUUCUUUGGAAUUAACUCAAGAAUAGUUGCGUCAUCCACGUAUUUCAAUCUAGUGCUCCAAUCCUGUGCCAGCUGGUUCACAAGUACCACAAACAACAGUGGGGCUAGCCCCACGAGGGGGGUAUCCCCCCUCGUGGAGAUAUCGAGGAUGAGAGUUGACCAUCAAUCCGCACUCUCUGGUGACGAUCUAAAAGAAAGCCUAGCCUUAGCAUAGGGAAGUGUUUUAGGUAUUCGUACACCUUUCAUAACUUCAUAGGAUGUUCUACCCUUGUUAGCUUCAUUAUAUGACAUAGUUGAAUUGAUACUCAUACCCUUAUACUGUUCUUUGCUUAACAAGCCCUUGCCUGUAUAGAGACAUUUUAGGCUUCUUACAUGGUUGCCCUUACUCUGCUCAAAGUUGUUAACCUGAGGUUUUGUAAUUUUAGGCAGUACUUUCUUUGAGUUGCUCAUAAAUGCAUGAGAUGUAAGAUGAAGGUGCCUCAAACACCUCAGAAUUUUCAUUACUGACUUCUGAUUGGUUUCACUGCCUCCACUUCCUUUUUAUUUUAAGUGUUGUUUCUGGUGCAAGCUGCUUCCUACCACCUUUCUCUGCUACAGAUGAAUCUUUCUGCCUGACUUUGAUCUCAUCGGGCUGUAAUUAACAACACGAUUUUUGAUCAACAAUCCUGAGAGGCAUAAGGCAUAAUUUCCAGAACUAAUAUAACAAUAUAAUUGAUGUAAAUUUAUAUAAUUGAUUAAAUCUUAAAAAAAACUGAAAGGAUUACAUUUUAUUAAUUCUCCUUAGCCUCAAAGCUAUGUUAAAAAAAUUUAAAUUUGUUAUAUAUUUAUAUAUAUAUCGAAACUUUUCUUUUUGACCUUGUUUUGGAGAGAGGAUAACUUCUUCUGUUCUUUAGAUAAUUCCCUUGCAACAGCAUCUUUCUGUUAUUGA